AGGCAGAGAGAGAGAAUUUCAAGCAGAUUCUGCGCUGUCGGCAUGGAGUUCAAUAUGGGGCUCAAACCCACGAACUGUGAGAUCAUGACCUAAGCUGAAACCAAGAGGUGGACGCUUAACCAACUGAGCCA